rnacentral:lncRNA from 1 species
CAUGGAACGGCUCGGGUUGGAAGGGACCUUAAAAAUCAUCUAGUUCUAACCCCCUGCCAUGGGCAGGGACACCACCCACUAGAUCAGGUUGCCCAGAGCCGCAUCCAGCCUGGCCUUGAACAUCUCCAAGAAUGGGGCAUCCACAACCUCUCUGGGCAACCUGUGCCAGUGCCUCACCGCCCUCUGAGGGAAGAAUUUCCUCCUAACAUCUAAUCUAAAUCUCUCCUCUUUUAGUUUAAAAGCAUUCCCCCUCAUCCUGUCAGAUGUGGACGCAGCACUCCAGGUGGGGCCUCACUAGGGCAGAGCAAAGGGGCACAAUCCCCUCCCUCGAACUGCUGGCCACUCCUCUGUCGAUGCAGCCCAGGAUGCAGUUGGCCUGAAAAUCACCCUUUUCAAUCUUCUUUAAUGAGGUGGGCCGUGUUAAGGUUCAUGGUCACAGUCUCUUGAGAAGAUGCAGGGGGCCAUGCGGUUUAGACAAAGCAGCAGAGCAGCUUUUGCAGAGGAAAACCAGGUAGUUCAGAGCAGGAAAACUUGGAAUCACAGAGUGACAACCUUUCUUCUCACUAUUUUCUUCGAUGUUGGCAGUGUGUUCAAUCACAGAGCUCACCAUACUAGGUGAAAGCAUCCUUGAGCAUCGUUGAGCUGUGCAAUACCUGCAGUCUAUGGAUUGACCCUCUGCUCUGUGCACCUUCCCUAGCAGAGAGCAGCACAGCAGCAGGCACCUACGGUCCAAGUCAAACCUAUCCGAUGUCGCAUCACCACCCCCAGCAUCAGAAGGCUGCUGCUGGGGUUUUAUCAUUAUUCCAAGGAUUGUGUAUUUAAGUUGGGUUUCAAAUCUUCAUGGAGCUUAAAAUCAUGUCUGUAUCACUGCACUGAUCUACACUGAGUGAAGAUAUAUCUGACUCUUUAUUGUGAUAAAAUCUUCAGUAUCUAUUCCUUUUGCAGUAAAGCUUUUAUUUUUUUUUCCCAUUUUAUUCUGCUUUUAGUAGCAGAAACCUAUUAUCAGAAUGUCCUGCCAUAUGUAACACAUGGGCUGGGGAGUAGACUCAACACAGAUACAUUUUUUAAUCAACUUUAUGUAAGCCUAACAGAUUGAAAUACCACUUUUAUUACAGUAUUUAGUUUUCAGGAUUCCCAAAAU